rnacentral:misc_RNA from 1 species
GAUGAAGAACGUAGCGAAAUGCGAUAAGUAAUGUGAAUUGCAGAAUUCAGUGAAUCAUCGAAUCUUUGAACGCACCUUGCACUCCUUGGUAUUCCGAGGAGUACGCCUGUUCGAGUGUUAUGAAGCUCUCAAAACGCAAUUGGCUUAAAACCUGAUUGUUGUUUUGGAUUUGAACUUUGCCGUGUUAUAACGGCUGGUUUUAAAAGUAUUAGCUGGUACUAGAACGAAUUGGUUCUACUCAACGUGAUAAUUAUCUGAUCGUUGAGGACAUUCCUUUCACGAGGAAUUGCCAUAGUAAAUUCAAUGGACUGCUUCUAAUCUGGCUUUAAUUCUUUAUUGGAUUAACCACUUUUCAAAUCUGACCUCGAAUCAGGUGGGACUACCCGCUGAACUUAAGCAUAUCAAUAAGCGGAGGA